rnacentral:rRNA from 1 species
UUGAAAUUAAGUAGUGAAGUAUGUGAGCCAUGUGCCGAGAAAAGCCGCUAUUGUUUUAUAUGUGCCCGUACCGUAAACCGACACAGGUGGAUGAGGAGAGAAUCCUAAGGCCGACGGAAGAAGCAUUGUUAAGGAAUUCGGCAAAAUGACCCCGUAACUUCGGGAGAAGGGGUGCCCACUGAAUGGUGGGCCGCAGAGAAUAGGCUCAAGCAACUGUUUAGCAAAAACACAGGUCUAUGCGAAACCGAAAGGUGAAGUAUAUGGGCUGACGCCUGCCCGGUGCUGGAAGGUUAAGAGGAGAGGUUAGCGCAAGCGAAGCUUUGAAUUUAAGCCCCAGUAAACGGCGGCCGUAACGAUAACGGUCCUAAGGUAGCGAAAUUCCUUGUCGGGUAAGUUCCGACCCGCACGAAAGGCGUAAUGAUUUGAGCACUGUCUCGACAAUGCAUCCGGUGAAAUUGAAGUACCAGUGAAGAUGCUGGUUACCCGCGCCAGGACGGAAAGACCCCAUGGAGCUUUACUCCAGUUUGAUACUGGGAUUCGGUACUGCACGUACAGGAUAGGUGGGAGACUGAGAACUAUGGACGCCAGUCUGUAGGGAGUCGCUGUUGGGAUACCACCCCUGUAGUACUGGGUUUCUAACCAUCUGCCGUGAUCCGGCAGUGGGACAAUGUCAGGCGGGGAGUUUGACUGGGGCGGUCGCCUCCGAAAGGGUAUCGGAGGCGCUCAAAGGUUCCCUCAGAAUGGUCGGAAACCAUUUGAAGAGUGCAAAGGCAGAAGGGAGCUUGACUGCGACACCGACGGGUGGAGCAGGUACGAAAGUAGGACUUAGUGAUCCGGUGGUAUAAAGUGGGAUUGCCAUCGCUCAACGGAUAAAAGCUACCCUGGGGAUAACAGGCUUAUCACUCCCAAGAGUUCACAUCGACGGAGUGGUUUGGCACCUCGAUGUCGGCUCAUCGCAUCCUGGGGCUGUAGCAGGUCCCAAGGGUUGGGCUGUUCGCCCAUUAAAGCGGUACGCGAGCUGGGUUCAGAACGUCGUGAGACAGUUCGGUCCCUAUCCGGCGCGGGCGGAGGAUAUUUGAGAGGAGCUGUCCUUAGUACGAGAGGACCGGGAUGGACGGACCACUGGUGUAUCUGUUGUCGACCAACGGCAUGGCAGAGUAGCCAAGUCUGGAAGGGAUAAACGCUGAAGGCAUCUAAGCGUGAAGCCCCCCUUAAGAUGAGAUAUCCCUCCUUCGGGAGUAAGACCCCUUGAAGACUACAAGGUAGAUAGGGCAGAGGUGGAAGUGUGGCAACACAUGGAGCUGACUGUUACUAAUAGGUCGAGGGCUUGGU